rnacentral:rRNA from 1 species
AGUCAUAUGCUUGUCUCAAAGAUUAAGCCAUGCAUGUCUCAGUACAAGCCAAAUUAAGGUGAAACCGCGAAAGGCUCAUUAAAUCAGUUAUGGUUCCUUAGAUCGUACCCACACUUACUUGGAUAACUGUGGUAAUUCUAGAGCUAAUACAUGCAAAUAGAGCCCCGACCGGAGACGGAAGGGGCGCUUUUAUUAGAUCAAAACCAAUCGGUGGCGGUUCGCCGUCACCGUACUCCUUGGUGACUCUGAAUAACUUGUUGCUGAUCGCACGGUCUCGAACUGGCGACGCAUCUUUCAAAUGUCUGCCUUAUCAACUGUCGAUGGUAGGUUCUGCGCCUACCAUGGUUGUAACGGGUAACGGGGAAUCAGGGUUCGAUUCCGGAGAGGGAGCCUGAGAAACGGCUACCACAUCCAAGGAAGGCAGCAGGCGCGCAAAUUACCCACUCCCGGCACGGGGAGGUAGUGACGAAAAA